UGUAGAUCAGCAAAUCCAAAAAAAAAAAAAAAAAAAAAAAAAAAAAAAAAAAAAAAAAUGUGUAAAGAAGUUGUGGUUAUGAUAAGAAUGUAGCAUGUGUACAAGCUAGAUAAUGAAUGAUGAUCAUGUGUGGUAUGGGUCAAUUUAGUGUAAUAAAGCGCUAAUUGCACGAUUUUGGUAGAGUUGGCUGGUCCAUGUACCAGAAGAAUUGAAUUGUACUAUGCAGGGUCUCAAUGUAGCAUGUGUACAAGCUAGAUAAUGAAUGAUGAUCAUGUGUGGUAUGGGUCAAUUUAGUGUAAUAAAGCGCUAAUUGCACGAUUUUGGUAGAGUUGGCUGGUCCAUAUACCAGAAGAAUUGAAUUGUACUAUGCGGGGUCUCGUUGAUUACUAGGUAGCAGAUU